UACGGGGGGGGCAAGCGUUGUUCGGAAUUACUGGGCGUAAAGGGCUUGUAGGUGGCCAACUAAGUCAGACGUGAAAUCCCUCGGCUUAACCGGGGAACUGCGUCUGAUACUGGAUGGCUAGAGUGUGGGAGAGGGAUGCGGAAUUCCAGGUGUAGCGGUGAAAUGCGUAGAUAUCUGGAGGAACACCGGUGGCGAAGGCGGCAUCCUGGACCACGACUGACACUGAGGAGCGAAAGCGUGGGGAGCGAACAGG
rnacentral:rRNA from 1 species